rnacentral:rRNA from 1 species
AAAAGAAACCAACAGGGAUUGCCUCAGUAGCGGCGAGUGAAGCGGCAAAAGCUCAAAUUUGAAAUCUGGCGUCUUUGGCGUCCGAGUUGUAAUUUGAAGAAGGUAUCUUUGGGCCCGGCUCUUGUCUAUGUUCCUUGGAACAGGACGUCACAGAGGGUGAGAAUCCCGUGCGAUGAGAUGACCCGGGUCUGUGUAAAGUUCCUUCGACGAGUCGAGUUGUUUGGGAAUGCAGCUCUAAGUGGGUGGUAAAUUCCAUCUAAAGCUAAAUAUUGGCGAGAGACCGAUAGCGAACAAGUACAGUGAUGGAAAGAUGAAAAGAACUUUGAAAAGAGAGUGAAAAAGUACGUGAAAUUGUUGAAAGGGAAGGGCUUGAGAUCAGACUUGGUAUUUUGCAUGUUGCUCUCUCGGGGGCGGCCGCUGCGGUUUACCGGGCCAGCAUCGGUUUGGAGCGGCAGGAUAAUGGCGGAGGAAUGUGGCACGGCUUCUGCUGUGUGUUAUAGCCUCUGACGAUACUGCCAGCCUAGACCGAGGACUGCGGUUUUUACCUAGGAUGUUGGCAUAAUGAUCUUAAGU